rnacentral:rRNA from 1 species
UAUGAACGCUGGCGGCGUGCCUAAUACAUGCAAGUCGAGCGAACGGACGAGAAGCUUGCUUCUCUGAUGUUAGCGGCGGACGGGUGAGUAACACGUGGAUAACCUACCUAUAAGACUGGGAUAACUUCGGGAAACCGUAGCUAAUACCGGAUAAUAUUUUGAACCGCAUGGUUCAAAAGUGAAAGACGGUCUUGCUGUCACUUAUAGAUGGAUCCGCGCUGCAUUAGCUAGUUGGUAAGGUAACGGCUUACCAAGGCAACGAUGCAUAGCCGACCUGAGAGGGUGAACGACCACACUGGCACUGAGCCACGGUCAAGACUCCUAACGGAGGAACAAGUAGGAAAACUUCCGCCAUGGGAGAAAGCCUGACGGAGCAAUGCCCAGUGAGUGAUGAAGGUCCUCGGAUCUUAAAACUCUGUUAUUCGGGAAGAACAUAUGUGUAAGUAACUGUGCACAUCUUGACGGUACCUAAUCAGAAAGCCACGGCUAACUACGUG